GAAAAAAAUUCUAAGGUUCAGCAGAAACCGAACCCCUCAAAAAGCCCAAUAUUUAGCCAAAUCUGAUGCCGAAUCCUGGAUUCGGUGCAUCCCUUAUAUAAAUCACAGCAAU